CCUAAACCGAAAAAAAGUUCUCCAAUCGGGCUCAAAAUUUUUGUGGGGGUUCCUUGGCCAAAAUAAUUAGACCCGUAUUUUUUUGUUUGGCCAUUAGGGUGACCUACAUCUUGUUAGGGUGGUUCGAAAAAAGGCAAUUUUCGUAAUUUUUCACAAAAACCACUUUUUUUCGAAAAAUCUUAUCUCCGCGCCAUUUCAUCCGAUUUUAGCUGUCUUAGACGCAAAAGAAAGGUGAUGAGUUUGGCUAUUUGAGAAAAAUAGUAAGAAGUUCCAAAAAACUAGCUUAACUAUUGAAAAAGUUGUAUGAAAACUUAAAAUGGCGUUUUGACCGUGUCUGGACCAAAGAGCCUAUGUCUGCAAAUAUUUUUAUCGGAUUUCUCGGAAAAUUUCAAAAAAUUGGCGAUGUCGAACCGUACGUUUCCAAGAUAUGAUUUUUUGAAAAUAAAAACUGAGUUUUUCGACGCGCCACGCGCAAAAACAGGAAAAUGACGAAAUCGGCAAAAAAUCAACUUUUUUCACUAAAACUGCGAUAACUUAAAAAUUUCAGCGAUUCCCAAAUAGCCAAACUCAUCACCUUUCUUUUGCGUCUAAGACAGCUAAAAUCGGAUGAAAUGGCGCGGAGAUAUGAUAUGCCUUGCACGAACACUCAAAGCGUGUUCUAGCGUGUUGCUCGUACUGACUCAGAGCAAGGGUGAGAUGUAGGUGUAAGGGCAGUGCGUGUUCGUCGGGAACAUAGUGCAUAAAAUCGGUCAAGGCCCGUUCUUACACUGAAAAUUGCGAAUUGCGAAUGUAUUGUUGGAGGCCGUGUUACGCUCCAUACAACAUUUUCAAAAUUUGUAUGGAAAUUUUGUUACGAGGGGGGAGGGGGUCUCAAAUUCAUUUUUUUGCGUUACGUAAGAAAAGAACGCCCCCAUACCAGAUAAUUUUGUUCAAACAACCAACCCGUGAAAAUGCAGUCUGGUGUGGUCAAACCGACGUUUCUUAAAAGAUGUGUGCCUUGCUUUUUAAUUUAUUACAGGACGGAAUCGAUGGCCCAAAGAAACGGACAAAGGCACCCACCGGGGAGGGUCCAAGUGCAAAAGUUCCCAAAGUAACGGCCGAAGUGAACCCAACGGCAAUCGUAGAAUCGGUUAGGAACGGAAAGACUACCGGAUUACUUGUGGGCACGCUUCGUGCUUAUCUUCAGCAGCAGGGCGUUGAUGGCACCGCAAAGAUGAAUAAGGCUGCUCUUAUUGAUCAAGUGAAGCAACUUCACGAUUUGUAAAAUAGUAUCAUUUAUUCGUUUAAUAAACUAUCGUUUCUCGUUACAUAACAUA